rnacentral:lncRNA from 1 species
UAAUUAAUCAAACGAAUAAGUUCGUUAAAGACCUCGGGAUAGUUUUGGACCUUAAGGCCCAAUGGGCUUCAAACGUCAAGUCCAUUGACUUAAGUUGUAUGACAAUUUAAUGAAUAAAGAUUCACAAAGGCCCAAAAGCCCAAAUCCCUUAUGUGGCCGGCCAUGUGUGAAGAAUUAGGGUUUUUGGUUCUUUAGGUCAUUUAAAGAAGUGACUAUAAAGAACUUUAUAGCCUAAAAUUCAAAAAGGGUUUUCUUUUAGGAAAUUGGAGAGAACACAAAGCUCUCAUUUUCUCUCUAGGAGGCCGGCCCCCUUGGAGGGUGUAGCUAGCAAUCCUACUACUCCAAGGUCACUCAUUUCUUCAUCAAUCUUACCUUGGUGUAGACACUUAGAGGUUCUCAAUUUUGGGAACUUGGAGAACCAUAUUCUUCCAUCCAAAUCCAUGGAUCUAAGAAGCAAGGAAUGAAGGCCCUCUCUUUGGGUGAUUAGCCUUUGCUUAUGCAAAGAGGAAUCUACAAAGGUAUAAAUUUCUCAACUCACUUUGAUUUGAUUUGAGUCUUUGUUCACCAAUCUACUAGGCUUUGAAUUUCAUGGGUAAUGUUUUGUUUUUGAAUGCAUGCAAGCAUAAUUCCGCCUUUUAAUUGUUAAAUGCAUGUUAUAGAUGUUAUUCAAAUGAACAUGUUUUCACAAAAUCUUCCUUCACAUAGCCGCCUACUGAGCAACCGCCUCACCAUGAGCAUCAACUCUAGCCCAUCAUUUAUGUAUUGAUGAGCGAGCCCUUAUUCUAUAAAAGGGACUCCCUCACCUUUAACGCCACAAGCCGGGCCAACCAAGGCAACAUAAGCCACAAACUGAACAGCCUCGCAACAUGUGCUACUUUUAGUUGAGCAUCAUUUCACUUUGAGCACCGCCUCAUAUCAAGUAUCAGUUCAAGAUGACAUCUAGUUACUUCGGCCCACACAUGGACUGAAUUUCAAGUGUCCAGCCAAAAGACUCUCUUGAUUGAAGACUUGGGGGACUACUGUUUGUACCAUACAUAGGGCCUCCGUAUUUAGAUCUCGUAUAAAUACCCAGGGGACUCAAGUGUAAUUAUGUAAUAAAUGAAAGGGCAAAUAUGUAAUAAGUGAGGAGCCCUUAUUCUAUAAAAAGGCCUUCUCACCCUCACAAACCUAACGCCUCACAUCCCCAAAGAGAAGCUCUCUCUCCCUCACAAUCCUCUCACAAACAGAGAAAUACAAUAUCAGUGUGGACGUAGCCCAAACAUUGGGGUGAACUACGAUACAUUUUGUGUUCUUUACUUUCUUACAGAUUCAUGGUUGGAUUUACGUUGUUCCAAGACCUCCCGGUUUUGUGCAUCAACAAGUUGCAUGAAUGAGCACUUGGUGAAAAGAAUUGUGUACCUAUGUUUUUCACCAAAGUGAAAAGACUUCCGGAACUGGAUUAUGUAAUUAUGAUUUUAAAACUCAAUACUUGUCAAUACUCUUUUCCAAAGAGAGGAAUGUAUGAAUGGUUUGCGAUCUUUUGGGGUAUAACAUUUAACAGCUAUUGAAAAGUGGGAGUGCAUGAUUCCAGGGAGUUUGCUAAAAUGUGGGAGUAAGGGAAACUAUUGCAUGUUUCAUUGUGCCUUGUAUCACUACAGAUUGAGUUAGUUUUCCAAGCUUAUUAUUGACAAUGUUUAUGUUGAUUCAAAUUUGUAAUGUGCAAUUAAAUGAUUGAUCAUUGUUCCAAAGAACAUGUUUAGUUGAGUCUAUUAUGCAGGGCGCUUGGAAGGAAAAGUCCAGCGAUUGAAGAUUAAAUUUCAAUGUUCAAUCAAUGAAGGUAUACUGGGUAAAUGUGUGGGAGGCUUGAAGUGUGAUAGAGGUCGAAGUGUUGGAAAUAUGCCCUAAAGCCAAUCAUAUGAUGAUACUUUACGAACAUUUCACAUGUUAAACUAAUCUAGUUUAAUAUAAAGCGCAAAGAUUAUUAUUUAAAGCCGUCUCAUAUAAAUGUUAUAUGCUUAAACAAUAAGUCCAAGGAAUAUGUAAUUGGGAGAAUGUGAUCUAAAGAAGUUAGAUUCAUGAGACCAUUCUCUUUCGUAUACAUAUCCUAAACGUUCAUGAUCAUAGGAUUGCCAAUUGGGUAUUGACAGUCCGUUAAAAUCAGUAUGUGCUCUGUCUUCUCUUAAAGAGAGUGACUGUCUUGAGUCAUUGGUGUGACCGACACCAAGACAAGCAUGUAGGUGCUCAAUAAAGAAUGAAUGCACUAAACGAUCAACGAGGAGUUCUCAUACUCAUGUCACAUGAGAACUCAUGGUUGGGAUAAUGCAAAGUAGUCCUUUGACCUGAGGCAUCAUAGUUGUCUUGUGGUUAGGUCCUUGAUCUUUGACUACGCCAAAGUCACUCCAUCAAAGGGUGUCUACGACAUAGUUAGAGUUAAGCCACUUAGCCAGGGAGGCAAGUGAGUGCACAACAAGGGAUCUCUAACUUUCAAAUCAUUUAAGGGAGAAUACUCUAUGAUAUGAUUAAGAAUCUCUGGCUAGAGAAUGAAUGAGAUUUAGGAAGUCGUUCCAAAUCACAUUUUAAGUAAUCAUAUAAGUAAGAGAAUCACAGUGGAUAGUAGAUAUGAAUAAACUAUCAAACCAAACAAUGUGGUUAAGAGUAUUGUAUUAGAGAAAGACCGUAUUGCAUUGUAAUCCUAAACUGAAUAGGUUGUCCACCUCUUUUGAUUAACUUGUGUAGCCAUGAUAUACUGCUAGGUGUCACUCAUGGUUUAUGGAAGCCCUAAAGGUGUAUAAUCACUAAAGGGAGAAUUGAAGGCAUGUUUCAAUUCACAAUCGAUUUGAAGAGUUCUAAUCGCCCACUGCCUCACUAAAAGGAACCUAAUGGAUUGCACACCGAGUAAGGUAAAGAUUGAAGAAACAAUAGAGAUGAGUAAGGAUAAUUAAAUGGUUUAAUUAUGUAUGGCUAGCAUUAAUUAAUAUGUUAAUUAAUCAAAUGAAUAAGUUUGUUAUAGACCUCGGGUUAGUUUUGGAUCACAAGGCCCAAUGGGAGUUGAAUGUCAAGCCCAUUAAUUCAAGUUGUAUGACAACUUGAAAACACAAAAGGACUCAAAGCCCAAUAAACCAAUUAAGGCCGGGCAUAGGGUGAAGGUAGGCAAACUUGUGUUAAUUGCAAGUUUACCACUCCAUUGUGAGGUGGUAUAAAGGCAACUUUAUAGCCAUUUCAUCCUAAGGGUUUUCUAAGGGAAGAGAAGAGAACACAAAGCUCUCUCUUCUCUAAAGAAGUCCGGCCACCCUAGAGGAACAUAGCUAGCAAUCUUCCUUCCUCUAGGUCACUCAUCUCUUCAUCAAUGCUAAGCAAAGAGGUGCUUCAAAGAUAUAAAAGUUUCUCAACUCCCUUCUUUAAGAUUUGAGUUGGGUCUUGGUUCACCAAAAUUACUAGGCCUUGAAUUUCAUGGGUAAAGUUUUUUUUUUUGAGUGCAUACAAGCAUGAUUCCUCCGUUUAAUUGUUAAUUGCAUGCAUAGAUUUUGCUCAAAUGAACUUGUUUUCACAAAUAUCUCCUUCAAGUGGUAUCAGAGCCUAGGUCUAGUAGUUGGUGAAUCCUUUUGGGUUUUGUAGUUCAUAGUCUUUGAUUUGAAUGUUGUAAUUGUUACAAGCUUUAUUCUUGCUUCUUUGAAUGUAAAUUUUGCUUGAAAAUUUGCCAUCUCAAAUGUUGUAGAUGUAGUUCAUAUGAGCAUGAAUUUUGGAGCUAAAAUUUUGUGCCAUGUUUAUGAGGAAAUUCGGCUAAAUCCAAAGGGUGGAUUUUUGGGUUCAUGUUUGUCUUGUUAAAAGUGUUCUAAAGUGUUGGGUUCAUGUUUGUCUUGUUAAAAGUGUUCUAAAGUGACUUUUGGAACCCUUAGAGCCUUUUUGGUACUCUACUUGAAUCCAACUUUUUAAACUCAAAAAUAAUUUUCAAGUUUUAGGCCUUAAAAAUUGUUUGGUUGGACUAUUUUCAAAAACUGAACUCAAGACUAACUCCAAAAUAUAGUCUAUUAUCUAAAAACACAAAAAGUGAGUUUUUAGAGUUUUUAAACUUAAACUCACUCCUUUCUUUUCUCUCCCUCCUCCCCUCUCACUCCAAAUCUAUCUCUGUUUUUCUUCUUUCUCUCUCCCCCUUCUCUCUUUUUUUUUUUUUACCUUUUUCGACUCUCCUCCAAUCCGCUCUCUUCAUUCUCUCGAUUCUUUCUCUCACUCCUCUUCCUCUCUAUCUCCUCCGAUCUUCUCACUUCUUUCUCCUUCCUCCAAUCAUCUCUUACUUUCUUUUCUCCUCUCUCCUCUUUCUUUGCUCCCUUUUUUAUGGAUCUUUUUGUCCAGUUUAAGUUGUAAGAUUUAAAAAUUUUAAAUCUCAUACCAAACAAGUUUUUGAGUCUUAAAGAAAAUUAUUUUCAAGAAAAAUUCUUAAGAAAUGUUUUGAGAAAUUGUAAAAAAUUUCAAAUAGGAUACCAAACAAGCCCUUAAGUACCCUAGAAUAUUAACCCUCUUUGAGUAGUGAAAAUUUGAGUUAUAUUGAGUGAAAACAUUCAUGGAGCUCUUAUGGGUUUUCAUGGAUGUUCUUCAAUGUUCUUGCUUUGUUCUUGUUGUUCAUACCAAGAACAAAAAGGUUUGUUGUUUUGAUUCAAAAAGGUGUUUGGUUAUUUAUUUGUUUUGGUUAGUAAUGGAUGGUAUGAAUUUUUCAAACAACACCCAUACUUCUUUUACUAUUCACACCAUACCAAUUAUUUACAACUUUCAAUCACUUUUCAAACACACAAAUCAACUCACACACAACAUCACCACUCACAAUGACCGGCCACCCCUAUAAUUGGGGUACUUUUGGGGCUUUUAUGCAAUUACAUAAAGUUCUGAUACUUUUGUGUAUUUGUACUUUGACCCAAAAGUUUACAUUUUUACGUAAAGGCCCAAAAUCACUAAAGGACAAAUUGUUUUGCUCCUUUAAUGAAGUUUUUGCAUUUGUUGAAAUUUUUGGGUUCUAGUUGUAAUUACAUGAAGUAGUGAACUUUUGUGUUUUUACAAAGUGACCUCAAAAGUUUGUGUUUUGCAAUAUAGCCCAAAAAGUUGAGGUUGUUGCAUUUUGGCCCAACUUAGUUGAGAACAAAAUAGUUUUAUAUCUUUAAAUGAGAAUUGGCUUUUCAUUUCAUUUAGCUCCAUCUAAAUCAAUUCUAUGGAUACAAAAACCAAAUGCCAAUGUUGCAUUCAAGUUUAAUUAGUUAAAGUGUUAAUUAAUUGAAGAAAGGGUGAUUAUGAACCUAAGCCUACGAUAAUUGAGCUAUGUGAAAGGCCGUCUAUCAAAUUUGUUUGAACCAUGGGAAUGUGUAGAUUAGAUUUUGGUUGUAAUUUGAUAUGAUCAAAUGUUGUAAAAGAGCAUAAGCUCUUCUUUACUUUAAAGUAAUUUGAUUUGGUCAAAUGUUGUAAAUGAGCAUAAGCUCUUCUUUACUUUCAAGUACUCAUUUUCUUGUUUUAUUUGAUAUGCAUGAAAUUGGAGUAUCAUAUACUACUAAAUCGAUCACAUGGACCAAUAGUUGUAAUAGGACCAAAUUGUUUUAAUAAGAUUAAAAUGCAUGCUUAUAUGUGAUGAGACCUAAAACCCUCAACCAAACCAUUAUUAAGUUGACAAGCGUGAGAGUGCUUUGAACACUCUUUCAUGCCCUUCCACCAUGGUAGGCUCCAAUCGUUUAUGACUCAUACACCAACUUCACCCUAUCAUGGGGGAGUACAAAGUAUGUGCUUACACUUAGAAGGACUUCUAUACGCAUACAUGAUGUUGUGAAGGUAGGCAACGAGAAUGAUCAACAUCAUAUCAUUGUGAGGUUGUUCUUGAACCCCUACUCGAACUUGCAUGGUGGGAAUGACUUAACUAAGUGCAAAGGAGCCAACAUCAUAUCAUUGUGAAGCAUCAUUCUCUAGAGGCCAAAUAAGAUGGGUUCUUACAUGAGAUGGAAAUGAGUAAGCGAACUCUCAUUAUUAUUGAUGCUAGCCAACAUCAUAUCAUUAUGAGGUGGGCUUGGUAAUAGUGAGCCUCUUAUACCCUACUAAGAGUUUCCUCCAAAACUCUCGAAUUCUGAUGAGGGAUAUGGAAUUUGCCAAAAAUAGUGGGUGGUGCUUUUUGAUUUAAAGACCUAGUUCAAAUAGCUUAAAAUCAAUUAAUUUAUAUUGGUUAUGUAUUUAUUAACCGAUAUAUUUGCAAACGCUAUCCAAAACUUGACAAAGAAGAGCCAAAGGUUUUAGUUUCCGGACUUGGUACCACAAUCUCAUAGAUUGUCUUGAAUGGAUUGUAUAUGUACCUAAGUAGUCUCAUCCUCACAAUCUUCCUAUUGAUAAUGUAUCAUUGGAAGAACAUGUUAGAUAAGUCUAUCAUAAAAAGAACAACACUUUUAGUGUCAUAAUUCUUCUAUUACAAAUCGUUAUAUGAAGAAAUAAGAGUUUCUUUGAACAACCCUUAGUUAACUCAAACACUAGUGCUUGUUUCCUUGUUACAUGAAAAAGGAACUUGAGAAGUAAGCACAAGGGCAUGGACACUUUAUGUGCCAUGAUUCUUCACUUACAAAUUGUUGUAUGAAGAAAUGAGAGUUUCCUUGAACAACUCUUGAAAGUUUGUAAUCAUGUUUAUUAGAUAAUGGUUGAUUGACAUAAAUAGUCCAUCAACAUGGACUUAUGAUGAUUUUGAAUCAUUGAGUGUUGAAGUGUUAAACCACUUCAGGAGACGGAAACUAGGCAAGGACUUCACCUUUGAGUCCCUAUCUAAAUGGUUCGCUAAGUUUAUUGUAAAUUAUUUAGUGAACAAUAACCGCACACUCUCCAAAUCGUUUGAUGUGUAUAACACAAUUGAAAUAGUGGGAGUUUAGGGACCAUGACUAUUGUAGUCAAGGGAGAAGUCAAAUGAAGAAAGUGAAAUAACUCAAAGGGAACAAACUUUCUUUAUGAAAGGAUGGACAUUGGAAGAGAUAUUUGCAAGAAAUGUCUUACAAGUGUCAAGAACACACCUUUCGAAGGUGUUGUAAAUUGUUCUUGAAAGGUUCAAAACAGUUGGUUCUUCUACUUGAUUGCUUGAUUAUGUAUUAGUAACUAUGUUUAACAAUCGUUGUAAAACUGUGGCUAAUAAGAAGUAGAAGAUUAAUGAGAGAAGAAAAAGUACUUCACAUUUGGAACGUGAAUAAAAUAUAGAUCUCUACGAAAGCAGAUAAUACUUACUUCCUCAUAUGAACUACCAAAGAAAUUGGAAAGACAAAGAUUGUCUUUACAUUCCAAUUUGAAUAAGGAACUUAAUUCCGUCAAUAUAAGAGAUGGAUGAAUGUUUUGUUUGACAAAACUUUGUUAUUUAUUAAUGAAUGAUUGGAUUAUUGUAAUCUGAUUGUUUGUCUCUAUAAUAGAGAUGAUGUGGUAGUAUUAACUGUUUAUAAUAUAACGAUGCUUAAAACCCAAAAGGUUGCAAGGUAGUGACUAAUCCCACUGAGUUGUGACACCUCUAAAACAUAAAUUACAAGUUGGUCAUAGAUGGAUGCUAUGGAUCAUUAGAUCCGGAUCCAAUGCCUUCUUGUUAAAAUUGUAUACAGGCGAAAUGUUUGAAUCUUUAUUCUUUUGAAAAGAAGAAAGAAUCAAAAAAUUGUUGAAGUUAAUUCACUUAGAUGUUAGUGGCACUUGUCCACAACAUAAUACUACUCAUGUUGUAUGACAUUCACCAAAGAUCGCUCUCGGUUGGACUAUCAUUUAUUUUGAAUAAACACAAGUCCGAAUACUUUGCAAAAGGUUUCAAAGAAUUCAAGAAUGUAAGUUGAUGAGUAAGACAUCUAAAGUAUUUACCUCCUUAGAUUUGAUCCAAGGAAAAAUAACACUUUAGAAGAGUUUCCUUGAAGGAUAUCAAGGAAAGUAGCAUCAUAAGAUAAUGGAUUUCUCCAUUGGGAGAAGAACGAACUCGAAUAAGAUGUAGUUCGUUGGAUGUUAUCAAUUACCCAUAUAUAGGAUAUAUACUUCUACGAUAAUAUGAUUGUCAAUUAGAUGAUCUUCCAAAAUUUUCAUGACUCCAUAGGAUGUAGUUGGAAAGAAAGACAAGUCUUAAUCGUGUUAAGAUUUGGGGUUGUGCUAAUAAGCAAUAUUUGUUUGAGAGCAAUCUUAUGGGAUAUCCUUAAAUUAACCUUUGGAUAUCACUUCUAUAAACCAACUAACAAAUGUUAUAUGUUGGGUAGUUCAUUGUAAUCCUACAAUAGGAUUUGCCUAAGAUAGAGCAAAUGAACGAGAGAUAGAACUCAAACAAUGGGUUCUUUGAGAGACAAGAUAAUAAUCAACAAAUAUAACAACCUAGUUCCUACACCACUAGCUCCAAGGUAGUCGAGAAAGAUCUAUAAAUCGUCUCAGUUGAAUGGUUUGAAAUUUAUGACUAUGUCAUAGAGUUACACCUCUUAAUUUGAAGGAAAUAAGAAUGAAAAUCCUUAUGACUACAUUGAGUGUAUAUAUGACAUAUACUCAAGGAAAUGGUAUAGUACCAUUUGACCCAAAAUAGUGAAACCUCCAUAGCUAUUUGGUAGCUUAAGAUGACUACAAUCAAUGAGAUUGGUUGACUUGGAAGAAACCAUCUUUGAUGUAGUUUUGGUUUCUAUUAAUUCGAAGAUUGCUAGCUACAACUAAACAGUGAUUCAAUGUUUGGACAUAAUAUGGGUUUCCGAAACCAUUAUCAAGAUAGUCUUGAUAAUAUAUGUCUAAGACUAGGAAUCACAAGACAUGUAAGUUGUAGAGAUCCAUCCAUCAUGAAUCUUAGCAAGCUAGUGGGAGCUAUAAGCGUCUUAUGAGAGAAAGAUCAAAUCAUUUGAUUUCUUAAAAAGAUGUAAAUGAAUCUUUUGUUUACUAGGUUUACAAAGGAUUAGUGGGAGUUAAUCAUAUUCCUAAAUUAAACACAUAUAUGAUAUAUUAAUUUUGGAAAUGAAAGGAAUUCUUGUUCGUUAAAGUUAUGACUUUAAACGUUCUAUAAUGAUAGAAUGUAUAUGGGAGACAUAGUCUAUAUACAUGGGAUGGAAAUCUAUAAUGAUAGAUUUCAAGAUAUAAUUGGAUUAUCUCAAUCCCUAUUGAUAGACGAUAGAUGUAGGAGGUUUCUCGAAAAAUAAACUUCAAAUGAAAGGACAAUACCAAUCAGACUAGGAAAUUGCUUUUCUAAAACGGAAUGUACCCUUUUAACUCCCAAAGAACCAUAAAGCGUAAAUAGAAUCCUUUAUGCAUACACAGAAAGGUGAUUUACGUAUUUCAUAUUGUAUGAAAAACGUUGAUAUGAGUUGUACCAAGAUCGGUACAAGACGAUAUCAGUGCAAGCCCAGGACCAGAACCCUAGCAAUUGUCAAGUGAGUCCUUAAGUAUUUAAGAAAUGCUAAAGGAUAGAUUCUUCAAGAAUGGGGAAGAAUUAAAGUAACACAAUGGAGUAAAUGUAUUAGAUUAUGAAUCUAAUAUCGUAUCCAUCAUUAGAUGUCUCUUCAUUUUGAAUGAAGAGAUAAUUGGAUAUCUCUUUAUUAUGACUAAAAGGAUAUUUGGGUGGAAACAUUAAAAGUAAUGAUUUUAGUGUGUUCCAUCAUGCAAAAUAUAUUGCCAUAUAAAAGCUUACAACAAUGUUGUUUGGAUGGGAAAGUUCAUUUAUGAACUCUCCAUUCGAUUCCAACCAGAAAGUGUCUCUAGUGUACCCACACUACGACAUUAAUGGGGUGAUAGCUCAAGUCAGGGAAUCAAGGUUUCAUCAAGAUCCGAACUCAAAUGAGAGACAGAAUCACAUGAUUGAGAAUCAUGCAUAAUGGUGACAUCAUUAUUUUCAGGGUUGCUUCUUUGGAUAACAUAUAGAUAUCCAUUGUCUAGGCCUACUACUCAUCCAUUUUUUAAAUGAAUUUAGAAGAGGUAUCAUCACUGAUGACCAAGUUGAUUGGCUCUAGUGCAAGUGGGACAUUUUUUGAAAUGUGCCCUAAAGCCAAUCAUAUGAUGAUACUUUACGAACAUUUCACAUGUUAAACUAAUCUAGUUUAAUAUAAAGGGCAAAGAUUAUUAUUUAAAGCCGUCUCAUAUAAAUGUUAUAUGCUUAAACAAUAAGUCCAAGGAAUAUGUAAUUGGGAGAAUGUGAUCUAAAGAAAUUAGAUUCAUGAGACCAUUCUCUUUCUUAUACAUAUCCUAAACGUUCCUGAUCAUAGGAUUGUCAAUUGGGCAUUAACAGUCCGUUAAAAUCAGUACGUGCUAUGUCUUCUCUUAGAGAGAGUGACUGGUCUCGAGUCAUUGGUUAGAGUCCUCAUACACAUGUCACAUGAGAACUCGUGGUUAGGAUAAUGCAAAGUAGUCAUUUGACUUGAGGCAUCAUAGUUGUCUUGUGGUUAGGUCCUUGAUCUUUGACUAUGUCAAAGUCACUCUGUCAAAUGUGUCCAGGGCAUAGUUGGGGUUAAGCCACUUAGCCAUAGAGGCAAGUGAAUGCACAACAAGGGAUCUUUAACCUUCAAAUCGUUUGAGGGAGAAUACUCUAUGAUAUGAUUAAGAAUCUCUGGCCAGAGUAUGAAUGAGAUUUAGGAAGUCGUUCCAAAUCACAUUUGAAGUAAUCAUAUAAGUAAGAGAAUCACAGGUUGGAAGUAUGCCCACAAAGCCACUCAUUUGAUGUAAUAGCUUUCGGAAUACUUAAUGUAUUAAACUUUUAUAUGUUUAAUGAAAGGCAAAGCUUAUUGUUAAUCACUAUUUAUUGUAUCAUGUGCUUAAGCAAUAAGGGAAUCCAAGGGAUGUAUUUGAUCUAAGAGACAAGUGAUUUAAGAAAGUUAGAUUAUCGAGACCUUUCUCUUAUGUUCAUUCCUAA